GACGAACGCUGGCGGCGUGCUUAACACAUGCAAGUCGAACGGAAAGGCCCUGCUUUUGUGGGGUGCUCGAGUGGCGAACGGGUGAGUAACACGUGAGUAACCUGCCCUUGACUUUGGGAUAACUUCAGGAAACUGGGGCUAAUACCGGAUAGGAGCUCCUGCUGCAUGGUGGGGGUUGGAAAGUUUCGGCGGUUGGGGAUGGACUCGCGGCUUAUCAGCUUGUUGGUGGGGUAGUGGCUUACCAAGGCUUUGACGGGUAGCCGGCCUGAGAGGGUGACCGGCCACAUUGGGACUGAGAUACGGCCCAGACUCCUACGGGAGGCAGCAGUGGGGAAUAUUGCACAAUGGGCGGAAGCCUGAUGCAGCAACGCCGCGUGCGGGAUGACGGCCUUCGGGUUGUAAACCGCUUUCGCCUGUGACGAAGCGUGAGUGACGGUAAUGGGUAAAGAAGCACCGGCUAACUACGUGCCAGCAGCCGCGGUGAUACGUAGGGUGCGAGCGUUGUCCGGAUUUAUUGGGCGUAAAGGGCUCGUAGGUGGUUGAUCGCGUCGGAAGUGUAAUCUUGGGGCUUAACCCUGAGCGUGCUUUCGAUACGGGUUGACUUGAGGAAGGUAGGGGAGAAUGGAAUUCCUGGUGGAGCGGUGGAAUGCGCAGAUAUCAGGAGGAACACCAGUGGCGAAGGCGGUUCUCUGGGCCUUUCCUGACGCUGAGGGGCGAAAGCGUGGGGAGCGAACAGGCUUAGAUACCCUGGUAGUCCACGCUGUAAACGGUGGGUACUAGGUGUGGGGUCCAUUCCACGGGUUCCGUGCCGUAGCUAACGCUUUAAGUACCCCGCCUGGGGAGUACGGCCGCAAGGCUAAAACUCAAAGGAAUUGACGGGGCCCCGCACAAGCGGCGGAGCAUGCGGAUUAAUUCGGUGCAACGCGUAGAACCUUACCUGGGUUUGACAUGGAUCGGGAGCGCUCAGAGAUGGGUGUGCCUCUUUUGGGGUCGGUUCACAGGUGGUGCAUGGCUGUCGUCAGCUCGUGUCGUGAGAUGUUGGGUUAAGUCCCGCAACGAGCGCAACCCUUGUUCACUGUUGCCAGCACGUUAUGGUGGGGACUCAGUGGAGACCGCCGGGGUCAACUCGGAGGAAGGUGGGGAUGACGUCAAGUCAUCAUGCCCCUUAUGUCCAGGGCUUCACGCAUGCUACAAUGGCUGGUACAGAGAGUGGCGAGCCUGUGAGGGUGAGCGAAUCUCGGAAAGCCGGUCUCAGUUCGGAUUGGGGUCUGCAACUCGACCUCAUGAAGUCGGAGUCGCUAGUAAUCGCAGAUCAGCAACGCUGCGGUGAAUACGUUCCCGGG
rnacentral:rRNA from 1 species